UACGGGGGGGGUAAGCGUUGCUCGGAAUCACUGGGCGUAAAGGGUGCGUAGGCGGGUCUUUAAGUCAGGGGUGAAAUCCUGGAGCUCAACUCCAGAACUGCCUUUGAUACUGAGGAUCUUGAGUACGGGAGAGGUGAGUGGAACUGCGAGUGUAGAGGUGAAAUUCGUAGAUAUUCGCAAGAACACCAGUGGCGAAGGCGGCUCACUGGCCCGUUACUGACGCUGAGGCACGAAAGCGUGGGGAGCAAACAGG
rnacentral:rRNA from 1 species